GGCCGCAUGGCCCAAUGGUCAAGGCGCUUGACUACGACUCCAGUCGAAAUCAAGAGAUUCCAGGUUCGACUCCUGGUGUGGUCG
rnacentral:tRNA from 1 species